UUAGGAGAACAAAAAAUUGUGGCCCGCAGACCUGCUACCGGUCCGAAACUGACUGCACAGCACCGCAAAGAACAGUUACAUUUUGCCCGUGAACAUUUUAAUUGGACGCUUGACCAAUGGAAGACUGUGCUCUUUUCUGNCAAGCCUGUACCGAGGAGACAGUGGAGUAUGGAGGUGGAUCAUGCAUGUUCUGGGGCGGCAUUUCCAUCGAUAGCAAGAC